GGUGGUUCUUGGGUGAUGCACCCUAGAAUCAGGCUCCCUCCUCUCUGGUUCCAGGUGUGUCGCCCAGAAAACCGCA
rfam:Myotis davidii contig131840, whole genome shotgun sequence.